AUUGAACGCUGGCGGCAGGCCUAACACAUGCAAGUCGAACGAGUGGCGGACGGGUGAGUAAUGUCUGGGAAACUGCCUGAUGGAGGGGGAUGACUACUGGAAACGGUAGCUAAUACCGCAUACCAUCGGAUGUGCCCAGAUGGGAUUAGCUAGUAGGUGGGGUAAAGGCUCACCUAGGCGACGAUCCCUAGCUGGUCUGAGAGGAUGACCAGCCAAACUGGAACUGAGACACGGUCCAGACUCCGACGGGAGGCAGCAGUGGGUAAUAUUGCACAAUGGGCGCAAGCCUGAUGCAGCCAGGCCGCGUGUAGGAAUAAGGCCUGCGGGUUGUAAAGUACUUUCAGUGGGGAUACGUUACCCGCAGAAGAAGCACCGGCUCACUCCGUGCCAGCCGCCGCGGUAAUUC
rnacentral:rRNA from 1 species